UCAAAUUGAAUUUUGCCAUUCAAGAAAGUCCAGCAAAAUGAGACUCAGCCAAGAAGCAAAAGCAGAAAGAAACCUCCAGGUUAAUCAAAAGCACCCAACUUGCGAAUAUUUCGCUUUUCUAAUGACUUAUGGUGAUCUCCUUCUCUUUUUAUGGUUCUACCUAGCUUCUAAUUUGACGUGCUUGGCUAAGCUCAUGCCCUUCAAACUUCACAAAGAAUUAAACUUACGGAGUUGGGAUCGAUCUUAUUUUUUGUUAAAGUUGGUUGAGUUUAUAUAUCUGGUUAAUUGGC
rnacentral:lncRNA from 1 species